CCUACGGGAGGCAGCAGUGAGGAAUAUUGGUCAAUGGACGCAAGUCUGAACCAGCCAUGCCGCGUGCAGGAAGACGGCUCUAUGAGUUGUAAACUGCUUUUGUACGAGGGUAAACGCAGAUACGCGUAUCUGUCUGAAAGUAUCGUACGAAUAAGGAUCGGCUAACUCCGUGCCAGCAGCCGCGGUAAUACGGAGGAUUCAAGCGUUAUCCGGAUUUAUUGGGUUUAAAGGGUGUGUAGGCGGUGGUAUACGUUAGAGGUUAAAUCCCGAGGCUCAACUUCGGAAUUGCCUAUGAUACUGUUCGGAUAGAGAGUAGUCGCGGUAGGCGGAAUGUAUGGUGUAGAGGUGACAUGCAUAGAUAUCACGCAGAACACCGAUAGCGAAGGCAGCAUGCCGGCUUACGACUGACGCUGAAGCACGAGAGCAUGGGGAUCGAACAGGAUUAGAUACCCGAGUAGGC
rnacentral:rRNA from 1 species